GCAAACUGGACCAAGAGAAGUUAAAUAAUGUUUCUGGAGUAAUAUAACUGGUGUGUGUAGUACAGAGAUUUGAACCCAGACAUCAGAACCCAGACUUCAUUCCUCUCCUUGAUAUAAAUUGAACUGCAAUGUAAAUUGAGAAGACUGUUAACUUCACUCUAUGAGCACGGAGAGCCUCAGAUGUGCAGGAGGACCAGAUUUUGCAUCCUUGAAUAUCAAAGUUCUUGACCUGCGCAAUGAUUGGAGUGGAUAUCUAGGGAACUAUUCUCUGGCAAGGACUUCUAGUACCAUGCUGUUGAGAGUGCACAUGUUCAUCUUUAGGAAAAGGCUUUAACCUUUCAAGUCAUACGAUGCUGUCUCUGAGUUUGUCAUACAUAGCCUAUGUUAUGUUGAGG